rnacentral:rRNA from 1 species
UACGUAGGGUGCAAGCGUUGUCCGGAAUUAUUGGGCGUAAAGAGCUCGUAGGCGGUCUGUUGCGUCGGCUGUGAAAACCCGGGGCUCAACUCCGGGCCUGCAGCCGAUACGGGCAGACUAGAGUUCGGCAGGGGAGACUGGAAUUCCUGGUGUAGCGGUGAAAUGCGCAGAUAUCAGGAGGAACACCGGUGGCGAAGGCGGGUCUCUGGGCCGAUACUGACGCUGAGGUGCGAAAGCGUGGGGAGCGAACAGG